CACAGUUGCUUCUUAGUGAUUAGAUGGGAGUAGUUUAUCAGCAAAUGCAUUUUUGUAUGGUUGUACAGUACUACAGUAUGCUGAACUGUAGAUUGUGCAUAGCUAGGUCAAAUGAGGCACUUGGUAACAGAAGGUAAACGAAACAUGUAGUGAUUCACAGGAUUAAAGUGUGUGUGCCGGGACUGAAGGCAUCAGAGGGAGAUCAGGACCUUAAGACAUUGAAUGCUAGAAGGUAUCUGUCUCGCAAUUCCACAGAAUGAGCAGCACAUUUGUGACCCUCACAGAGGUGCUGGAAGCCAGAGGAGGACCGCUGGAAGAGGAUGAGGUGUGGUCGCUCCUGCUGGGCUCAGCUGAAUCCCUCUUAGACCUUUCCUACAAAGGUCACAAUAUCUGCAGCAUUAUAACUCCUGCAUCACUGCUCUUGUCCGCGACUGGGACGCUGGCAUUCAAGAACUGUGCUAUGACAGAUGAGGUGUGUGCCUUCACAGCCCCAGAGAUGCUGCAAGGCCGUGCCAUCUCCACCAAGCUAGC